rnacentral:rRNA from 1 species
UACGGAGGGUGCAAGCGUUAUCCGGAAUUACUGGGUUUAAAGGGUGCGUAGGCGGCUUGAUAAGUCAGAGGUGAAAGCCUAUCGCUUAACGAUAGAAUUGCCUUUGAUACUGUAAAGCUUGAAAGGGGUUGAGGUCAGCAGAAUGUGGCAUGUAGCGGUGAAAUGCAUAGAUAUGGCAUAGAACACCGAUGGCGAAGGCAGCUGGCUGGGCCUACUUUGACGCUGAGGCACGAAAGCGUGGGGAGCGAACAGG